rnacentral:tRNA from 2 species
GCCCUCGUAGCUCAGUGGAUAGAGCGCAGGUCUCCGGAACCUGAGGCGUAGGUUCAAUUCCUAUCGAGGGCACCA